CCAAUAGCGUAUAUUAAAGUUGUUGCAGUUAAAAAGCUCGUAGUUGAAUUUCGAGAUCAAUUUGUUGGUCGUGCCAUGGUACGUACUGGCAUUAUUGGUUUCUCCCUUCUGACGAACCAUGAUGUCAUUAAUUUGGUGUCUUGGGGAAUCAGGACUGUUACUUUGAAAAAAUUAGAGUGUUUAAAGCAGGCUCACGCUUGAAUACAUUAGCAUGGAAUAAUGAAAUAGGACGUUUGAUUCUAUUUUGUUGGUUUCUAGGAUCGACGUAAUGAUUAAUAGGGAUAGUUGGGGGCAUUAGUAUUCAAUUGUCAGAGGUGAAAUUCUUGGAUUUAUUGAAGACUAACUACUGCGAAAGCAUUUGCCAAGGAUGUUUUCAUUAAUCAAGAACGAAAGUUAGGGGAUCGAAGACGAUCAGAUACCGUCGUAGUCUUAACCAUAAACUAUGCCGACUAGGGAUCGGAUGAUGUUAAUUUUUUAAUGACUCAUUCGGCGCCUUACG
rnacentral:rRNA from 1 species